AUUCCAGCUCCAAUAGCGUAUAUUAAAGUUGUUGCAGUUAAAAAGCUCGUAGUUGGAUUUCUGGCCGAGUGUCCCCAGGCCAGCAUGACGUUUGGUCCUGGGCGCUCUGCCAUCCUUCUGUCAACCUUCGCCUCGUUCAUUCGUGGCGCUGGGGCUCAGAUAUUUUACCUUGAGAAAAUUAGAGUGUUUCAGGCAGGCUUUCGCCGGAAUACAUUAGCAUGGAAUAAUGGAAAAGGACUUCAACCUCUUCUGUUGGUCUGAGAGGCUGUAGUAAUGAUUAAUAGGGAUAGUUGGGGGCAUUAGUACUUAACUGUCAGAGGUGAAAUUCUCCGAUUUGUUAAAGACUAACUUAUGCGAAAGCAUUCACCAAGGAUGUCUUCAUCA
rnacentral:rRNA from 1 species